rnacentral:rRNA from 1 species
UACGAAGGGUGCAAGCGUUAAUCGGAAUUACUGGGCGUAAAGCGCGCGUAGGUGGUUCAGUAAGUUGGAAGUGAAAUCCCCGGGCUCAACCUGGGAACUGCUUUCAAAACUGCUGAGCUAGAGUACGGUAGAGGGUGGUGGAAUUUCCUGUGUAGCGGUGAAAUGCGUAGAUAUAGGAAGGAACACCAGUGGCGAAGGCGACCACCUGGACUGAUACUGACACUGAGGUGCGAAAGCGUGGGGAGCAAAUAGG